AAUGCAAACACCAUUUUAUUAUUUCUUUUCUUUUCUUUUUCCUUUUCUUUUACAUCACAAAACAAAUACAAAUACAAAUUCAAAAUCAAAACAAAUAAAUAAAAAUUACAUUAGUUAAUUUAAAAAAUUACACAAUAGUCCCUAAAACUCCAAAAAUGGCAGGGAAACCCAUCUGCACCCCGGAACAGUGCUGGGAACAGUGGCGGCGCGUGGGUUCACGCGCCGCCGAUGGAAAACCUGAAAAACAGAGGGGGCUGGAGCGGCUCCUUCUCCUCUUCCUUUCCUCACCGGCGGUGAAGAUCACCGCCACCUGCAACAACAAAAAAAACUCACAAACAGCAAUCGGUCUUUAUUUUUCUUUCCAUUACAGAUCUGCUUCUCUUUGAUCUGCAGAAGCAGAUCGGUUCCUUUCCUUCUUCAGAUCGAUCUCUCCUCUGUUUUCGUUCCUCUGCUGGUUGCUGGAUCUUCGGACGACGGAGGGCUGAAGGCUGGAGCUGCUGUGGGGGGGCCGAAGAUGGGAAGGUCUGUGGUGUUGCUGAUGGCGGUCGAUUGAAGGAGAAAGCACUGGAUGGAGACGAGGGGGCUGUGGCCGCUGGUCUGUGGUUGGUUUCUUUGACCGCCGCUGCUAGAGGAGCUGGAGUUCGGCCAGGUGAGGGAGGAGAAGAAAAAUGAGAGGUUGGUUCGCAGGGGAGCGCUGCUCCUCUCUUUGCUUCGCCGGGCUGAGAAGAUGAGAAAACAAAUUCAGCAGGGGGGGUCCUGCUGUUUGGCCGGUGGCUGGAGAAAAAAAACCCGGCGUCUUGGAGAAAGAGAGAGGCUGUGGCUGAGGGGAGCUGUUCGGGUUUUUUAUUGGAG
rnacentral:lncRNA from 1 species